UCGGGAAUUUUGGGCAAUGGGCGAAAGCCUGACCCAGCAACGCCGCGUGAAGGAUGAAGUAUUUCGGUAUGUAAACUUCGAAAGAAUAGGAAGAAUAAAUGACGGUACUAUUUGUAAGGUCCGGCUAACUACGUGCCAGCAGCCGCGGUAAUACGUAGGGUGCGAGCGUUAAUCGGAAUUACUGGGCGUAAAGCGUGCGCAGGCGGCUUUGCAAGACAGAUGUGAAAUCCCCGGGCUCAACCUGGGAACUGCAUUUGUGACUGCAAGGCUAGAGUACGGUAGAGGGGGAUGGAAUUCCGCGUGUAGCAGUGAAAUGCGUAGAUAUGCGGAGGAACACCGAUGGCGAAGGCAAUCCCCUGGACCUGUACUGACGCUCAUGCACGAAAGCGUGGGGAGCAAACAGGAUUAGAUACCCGCGUAGUCCCUGAGCGGGCUGGCAAGGCGCAU
rnacentral:rRNA from 1 species